AUGAUGUAAACUUGUGGCCCCCUCAGCGAGUGGGUGAGCGGGGGUUGGGGGUGCUGA
rnacentral:snoRNA from 1 species